rnacentral:rRNA from 1 species
AGGGAAUAUUGCGCAAUGGGCGGAAGCCUGACGCAGCGACGCCGCGUGAGCGAAGAAGGCCUUCGGGUCGUAAAGCUCUGUCCUUGGGGAAGAAGGCGAAAGCUUGACGGUACCCAAGAAGAAAGCCCCGGCUAACUACGUGCCAGCAGCCGCGGUAAUACGUAGGGGGCGAGCGUUGUCCGGAAUUACUGGGCGUAAAGGGUGCGUAGGCGGCCUUUUAAGUCAGAUGUGAAAGGCUGCGGCUUAACCGCAGGACUGCAUUUGAAACUGGAAGGCUUGAGUGUCGGAGAGGGUAGUGGAAUUCCCAGUGUAGCGGUGAAAUGCGUAGAUAUUGGGAGGAACACCAGUGGCGAAGGCGACUACCUGGACGAUAACUGACGCUGAGGCACGAAAGCUAGGGGAGCAAAC